GCAGGGGUUGCCAAGUCAGGUCAAAGGCGCAGGAUUCAGGGUCCUGUUUCGUAGGAAUUCGCGAGUUCGAAUCUCGUCCCCUGCA
rnacentral:tRNA from 1 species